rnacentral:rRNA from 1 species
GACGAACGCUGGCGGCGUGCCUAAUACAUGCAAGUAGAACGCUGAAGAGAGGAGCUUGCUCUUCUUGGAUGAGUUGCGAACGGGUGAGUAACGCGUAGGUAACCUGCCUUGUAGCGGGGGAUAACUAUUGGAAACGAUAGCUAAUACCGCAUAACAAUGGAUGACACAUGUCAUUUAUUUGAAAGGGGCAAUUGCUCCACUACAAGAUGGACCUGCGUUGUAUUAGCUAGUAGGUGAGGUAAUGGCUCACCUAGGCGACGAUACAUAGCCGACCUGAGAGGGUGAUCGGCCACACUGGGACUGAGACACGGCCCAGACUCCUACGGGAGGCAGCAGUAGGGAAUCUUCGGCAAAGGGGGCAACCCUGACCGAGCAACGCCGCGGGAGUGAAGAAGGUUGUCGGAUCGUAAAGCUCUGUUGUAAGUCAAGAACGGGUGUGAGAGUGGAAAGUUCACACUGUGACGGUAGCUUAACAGAAAGGGACGGCUAACUACGUG